rnacentral:rRNA from 1 species
UACGUAGGGGGCAAGCGUUGUCCGGAAUCAUUGGGCGUAAAGAGCGUGUAGGCGGCUCGGUAAGUCCGCUGUGAAAGUCCAGGGCUCAACCCUGGAAUGCCGGUGGAAACUGUCGAGCUAGAGUCCGGAAGAGGCGAGUGGAAUUCCUGGUGUAGCGGUGAAAUGCGCAGAUAUCAGGAGGAACACCAAUGGCUAAGGCGGCUCUCUAGUACGGUACUGACGCUGAGACGCGAAAGCGUGGGGAGCGAACAGG